UGGAAUGAAAGGGUAAACUGGAAUGAAUUUUUUCAGGAUAAAAAAAUGAAGUUGACUUUUUAGUAAGAAGGCUAAAAUUUAUCUUAAAGACAAGAAGACCUAAAACUUUAUAUUUAUUCCUUUUAGGGAAGAAAAUAAAUAUUUUGCUGGGGUGGCAGGAAAAAAAAACUUUUCUUAUUUUGAGAGGUUUAAUAAACCUUAAUAUAAAUUUAAAGAAGAAUAAGUUACUGGGAUAACAGCUUAAUUCACUUAAAGUCAUUGACAAGUGAGUUGACCUCGAUGUUGAAAAAGUCCUCUUUGGCGCAAA
rnacentral:rRNA from 1 species